UACGUAGGGGGCUAGCGUUGUCCGGAUUCAUUGGGCGUAAAGAGCGUGUAGGCGGCCAGAUAGGUCUGGUGUGAAAACUCGAGGCUUAACCUCGAGAUGUCAUCGGAAACCAUCUGGCUAGAGUCCGGAAGAGGAGAGUGGAAUUCCUGGUGUAGCGGUGAAAUGCGCAGAUAUCAGGAAGAACACCAAUGGCGAAAGCAGCUCUCUGGGACGGUACUGACGCUGAGACGCGAAAGCGUGGGGAGCGAACAGG
rnacentral:rRNA from 1 species